AAACAGGCUUCCUUGCCAAGUCAGGGCAGUGAGAAAGCUGUGUGUUUGAAGUUGCUAUUAGUGUCUUCCUCAGCUGAUUUCUAUAAGGGAUUGUUUUCCGGUAAAGGAGGAAUAAGGGAAAUACUUAAACAAUAACUGCUCUGAGUGAGUGUGUCCAGGGAAAUCAUUAUCUCUUAUUGUGCCAAUAAGUUUCAAGGCAAUGAGCCAAGCUGUUCUUAAGCUGGAGCCUCAGCUACAGCUCCGAGGUCAAAACCUGCACCAAAAGGGAGUUCGUGUGAGAUGCCCCCUGGAGAUGCCCAAACUGCCAGAGGAGAACCCUGUGGCUGUUAACAUGGUUUGAUUCGCAUCCUGAUUCAGUCCCCAAAUGUCUUCCGGAUUCAGAAGUCACAUGCAGGACAUGUUGCCUUUGGAGAUUCCUUCCCUGGGCUAAGUUUGUCAACUCCCUGUUAAAAAUGAAGACUCUUAGAGGGUAAGUGUUUGGGUGAAGUAAUUGAUCAGAGCCUCUGCCAGGAAGCAAGAGAUAAAGUACCUGCCUGGUGAAGCCUGGGAAGGGACGUGGGGAGGGAGGUGGGGAGGGAGGUGGUGAUGGUGGCCCGGGAUUCCACAGCUCACAGAGGGCCAUAUUUGCACCUGCUGUGGGGCCAGGUCCCAGAAGGGGGAAGGCAGGUGGGUCUGCUUGGCUCUUUUAAAAGCACCCAUGUUGCUCCCCUGUAGAAGCACAUUCCUGGUGGCCCUCUAAAGAGGCAGCUUCACAGUUAGGAUGAGGCCUCCAGGGCUGCACUAGGGAACCCAAGUGUCAGAAGGUUCUAAGGGAAAUAGUGCUUGGAAAGCAGGAUUCCACAGUGGUAAAAGGCUGGAGGGUUGUGUGAGGAUGACGUCAAAGGUUACUAGGCUAUCGCUUCCUCGUGGAAACAUAAACCUGGACAAAUGACAGACAUAUUGAGAUUUUUAAGCAAGUUCCUGAUU
rnacentral:lncRNA from 1 species